UAAACAUCCAGUAAGGAACGGUUUGUCUUAACGGCCCACUUCCAGGUUUUGAAACAAUUUCAGUGCAUUUCUUCUUUCUUUUUCAUUCCCUCUUUCUUGUAAAUUAUAUAUUUAGGAGGAGGGGUGUAUGUAAAGAUUAGACAAGUGGAUCUUACGUUUUUUAAAGCAUUUCAACGGAAACACAAAUGAAAGCACAUGAUUACUUUCUGGUGGUCUUGGCUGCUAAAAGGGCCAGGGUUUGUUUAUCCGAGCAGUCUUACACUUUAGAUAUAGAACGUUCAAAAGAAUAGGAGUUGUGAAGCUGAGUGACAAUUUAAGUGACGAUUAUGCGUUCGGCUACACAGCCUAUGGGAUCCAGCAUGUGAAUGAGCAUUUUGUCUAUUUGUUCCCACCAAUUGUAGAGCCCUCCAAAUGUAAGUGUGGCAGAUUAGAGGAAAUAAUGAAAUAUCCUUGUGUCGGGGGGUGGGAAAUAGAGUGACUUACUAGUCUAUUGCAGUUACUGUACACAGAUUUCCCCAAACCAUGUUGAAUCUUUUAAAUUAGAUUUUAAAUAUAUUUUGACAGCCUGGACUGGUACAGUGUGACUAUCCGUGGGAGGAAAUGACAAGUCUGUUUUGUUAUUAAGCUGCUGUCAAGAAAAUAUUAGGCUCUGUACAGCAAAUGAAUGCUAUUUUGCCACCCACAUUAGUAUAUCUAAUAGAAAUAAGAUGGAUUUUUUUAGAGGUAAGCAUUAUUGUGCCGUUAUUCACUGUAAAACAAAAGCCCCCCCCCCUUUUUAAAAAGCAACUUCAUUUUCAUUUCAUCGUUCUGAGUACUCCUGGCUUCUAAUUUAAACAGAAAAAAAUAAUAAAGGGGUGACAUCUAAAUGCUACUAUUUGUUAAGAGAACAUUUAUAGUGGCCAUCUGGAGUGCUAGUAAAACAGAUCACAGAGAUGGAGGAGAGGGAGGAAUCUGGAGAAGCAGGUACCUGGUAGGUGCCUAAAGAACUGGACCAAUGGUUCCUCUGAGGACCUUGCAAUGGAAGGAAGACACAGAGGAGCCCCCAGAAAUUGUUAAAAAUCCCCCUUCUGUGAACCCAGGAUUGCUUGGUUCUCUGUGAAUUGGGACAAUUUUAAAGCUGAAAAAGGAUGCUAGUCCAGUGGCUGGUACAGGGUGCUAAGCCAGUGGUUGAUACAGGAUGCCAGGCCAAUGGCUGAUACAGGAUGCUAAGCCAGUAGCAUCCCACUUUGGGGGGCCAUAGCUAAGAGGAGGCUUCUGCCACUGUGGAUUGUUUCCUUCCAUUCAGAACCCUUUUCUAGUUUGGUAGGACUGAGACCAUCCUGCAAGAUCAACUAGAUCAAAUUGUUCUUCCUUUAGCCAUCUCUGCCUUGUCAUAGAUAGUUAAGCUGCCUUGCACAUACUGUCCUUAAAAGACUUUUCCUGGAUAUUAAUCACCCUUUGUUUAUUUUAAUAUAUUUACUGAAUCAGGUACCCAAGGGACUCUUCUACAUCUGUGAUGUGAACAAAGCAGUUGCCCGGAGUCAAACAGGUACCUUGGACAGACUUGCACCCAGGAUGUCAGUGCAUGCGACAAGCAUCUUGGAUCCUGAAGCACCUGAGCAGGGGGUUGUCUGGAGCUCGUCCUUUCACAGAAGAGGAAAAUGUACAGCAGGGAACCUCAAUGAGUACCCUGGCGUGCAUGGAGAUGGACCAUCCUGAUCUAGAACAUGAUUUUCUUAAGCAGACACUGUAUGAUUUAACUAAGACAUUUCUCUUUGAACUGCUUUAGCUACAGAGAUUAUGGCAAUUUUUAAAAAUGCAUACUUCAAGAACAAUUGAUAUUUAACAUUUGUUAUGGCCACAUGGAGGCCAUGCCUGUUUGUUGGAGUUAGAAUAAACAUCUGUGCACUCAAACAUCCCUCCCAGCCAUUUACAGACUUGAAGGACAGAUGAGAAGCUACUGGGGAACAAGCACCUCCCAGGAGCCAGAAGCUAUGUCAUCUCCAGUCCUUGAAACAAGUACAGAGGCAGAUACUUAAAUCCACUAAGCAGAAGUGGAGAGUACUAAGCACAGAGCAAUUUAGGUGCCAUGUGACCACUUACUACAAUCCUGCUUAGGUACCUACCAUGCCUCUUCCUCCCCAGCCAGUCUGCCCCCAGCCUUCCUGGGUCACACACUCCAGCUUUUAGCCUCAAUUUGUACUGGGAGAGCCCAAGCGCCCCCUCCUUGGCCUCUUCUUUGGAGUAGGGUUGAGUAUGGCUCCGAUGGGAAAGGCACAUCAUGUGAUUAGUAUCAGUCAGUCCAGAGCCUUGGCUUCUAAUGGUCUUGACUCCUGAGCACCCUUGUUGGUCGAAACAAAUGAUUCAGUACUUUGAUUUUGGUAGGCAAUAAAAAAGGCUUUCCCACUCAAAAGAUAAUGAUUGUCAUUCCAGCCACAGUUUAAAAAAUAAUUGAUGACACAUCUCCUUAAAACUCCAUAAUGUGUAAAGUCACUCAGGAAAUUGCUUGGCACUGAAGAUAAAUCAGUCGGUGUUGGUAAAUCACUCCAACGAAAGCCCUGUUGAAUAAAAGUUGUCAGCGAAAUCGGCACUGGUACUACAAAGAAUACAAUUUCCACAUCUUGAAGAUGGGAAUUGUCCCUCAAAGGGGAGCAUAAAGGAUUAAAUAUGGUAAUAUAUGUAAAGUACUUGGAUUAAAUAUGUUAAUGUAUGUAAAACACCUGCACUGGGUAAACACCCCCACCAUGUUCAGCCAUGGACAACGUUACAUGGGAUGAAAUUCUGACCUUGACACUUAACAAGCCUUGGUUUACAUUAGAAUAACUUUGUGGUUACAGUGUUGAACUCCCCCACUCCCAGCCCUCUGCUUUAAAAUAAAUGUUUUCAAAACCAGAAAACCUAGGUUGGUAUAGAAUAAUAGCUUAUGGCUAUUCUUUUAUUAAAAAUCCCAUCAACCCUAAAAAUUUAAAAUAAAAUCAAAUCACUGUACUUUGGGGAGCUCUCUGCUCAAAUAAUUUAGGAAAAUGGUGUGUUAAACAUUUAAUAUUGCUGUCAUCCAUCUCAGAGCUUUUAUAUGCUAAUAUGUAUGCCCUAUAUACAUAUUAUACUAACACAGAUGGCAUGCAGUAUUUUCCAAACUUGUGUGAACAUGGACCCUGGUAUUUAAACAACCAUUUCCUGUAACUAGCAUUGUGCCUGGCAAUUUUGAAAAAAAAAAUGAUGAUUGCCUAAAGUAUUAAAGUCCUGACAUUUCUUUCAUUUAGCACCUAAGAGCCCUCUUAUUAAUUUUCCCUGGUGAAAACCUUGUCCUUGGUGGCUCAUUUGCAUUCUGCAUGCUCAUUUUACUCAUCAGCCCAGAACAAUUGUAUAUGAUUCUGUCUGCAAUGUAUACUUUAGGAGAGAAAACUAUAACAUGGGGGUAAAUCCUAUAGGGCUGUGUAAUAAUGAGUUCCAGGAGUUGCCCCUGCCUUCCUGGGCUCCCCCAGAGAUCUUGGGGAGUUCAGCUUGGGAUCCUCUGAUUGUCUAGCACACCCAGAGGCCUUGUUUAACUUGGCUUAGCUUUUUGUGACUGGAGGAGCCAUCCAAGGGACUCCAAGCUUCUGCAUGGAAUACAUAAUUUCCUAGGGUUCUGGCCAGAGAGUCUGUGGCUGUGAAAGCUGCCUUCAGUUUGGGGAUCCUUUUUUAAAAGCAUGGAAGUAUCUCUUGCAAUAUGAAUAAAAGAUGGC
ensembl:lncRNA